AACAGAUGUGCCUUGAGUCGCCUCUUUGCAGUGAUGCUGCCUUGGGGGAUCACAGUUUGCUUUUCUGCAGCCGCAGGGAUUGAAGCAGCGCUUCCCCAUCACUUCCUGACACCCUCAGAAGCCAGGUUGCACCGGGGAGGUGGCAGAUUGGCUGGUGACCUGGAAGGACAUCAAAUGGAAGGAUUUAGCUGCUGGAGGGGGCUUGUCAGGGGAGCUGAACUUGUGGGUGGAGAAACAAAAAGCUUUCCAGUUCCAGUGCUGCCCGUUUGGCUGUUUCUCAGAGGAAGAAAGAGCACCUUCAACAAAACGCUCCCUGAACUGCAGCGGUUUCACACAAUCCCCAUUCCCAGCCUCUUUGAGCUCGAGAUGCUUGAAUCCCUGUCAAUCGACCAGCUCACGAGAGUGGAACAAACUUUUCUUUUAAACCUUCCCAGCCGUACCACCAAAACCAGAAUAUCUAUUACAGAAUCAGGAAGAAAAAACAGCUUUGCCAGUUUAAAACUUGAAAGGUAGAAGGGAGGGAGAUGCCUUGCUCAAGAGCGGAGAGGCAAAGAUAUUGUUCCCAUCUCUAGCAGUGGCACCUUCUGCUGUCAGAAUGGAUGGCUUAGAUUCUCAAGAUACUUCAGGCUUCAAUAGUUAUGCUCCCUUAAUUGAGGGUAUUACAGAUACUAUGGAUUUUUUUAGCACAUCCUUUACUUUGUGUUGUUUUCCAUGGUUCGAUGGUUGCCUCUGUGGGUGAACUCGGAGCUCUAUCCAGAAGGUAAACAGAAAUCCUGAACCAAAAAAAGAAAGGGAGUCUAAAUAUAAAUCUGUCAAAACCAGACUCUUCUCUGCAGCAUCAUUAAAGGAGACCAAUUUGUUGCUGGUGGCUGUGCUUGAAGAGCUGACCCAGUGAGAUGGGGUUUUGCCCAGCAAUUCCCAAGGGAAGGCUGUUAGAAAGUCUUUCUGCUCUGAGCCUCUUACCGUGUUAUUUCUAAAUUCCAGCCUAUAUUAAUUCACGGCUGCUUUGUUC
ensembl:lncRNA